UCAAACUUGGUCAUUUAGAGGAAGUAAAAGUCGUAACAAGGUCUCCGUUGGUGAACCAGCGGAGGGAUCAUUACUGAGUUACCAAACUCCAAACCCACUGUGAAUCUACCAUCGUUGCUUCGGCGGGCGGCCUCGGGGGGGCCUGGAAGCCAGUCGCUGGCGCCCGCCGACAGCCCCAAACUCUUUUAUAUUUCUGAAGCCUUUCUUCUGAAUGCAAACAAACAAACAAGUAAAAACUUUCAACAACGGAUCUCUUGGUUCUGGCAUCGAUGAAGAACGCAGC
rnacentral:misc_RNA from 1 species